UCCAAAUGAAUCCAAGUGCCCUCUUUGUAAAAAGCAAAGAGACUACAGCAUUCUGCUGCCUGCCUUCAGAGUCAUGAAGACCACAGUAUCAAGUAUGCAGGUUUCCAAAAGACCAUUUUGUGGUGUCUUGGUAUUUCAUCCUCGAGGCUCCCUUCAGCUUUAACGAGCAUACUGUCCAUAGUGGUUUUGAAGUUCCAGAAAUGCCUACCUUUCAAAAUCCAGAUAUUUUAAAUGUAUGUUUAUAAUGGUUUGCAUAAAUAUUUUUGUAACAUUAAACUCCUUUUAACAAUGUGACUCUGCUCAGUCCUCUUUAGAAUGACAUGCCAGCUUUGAGGAAGUGCCGGUGUAGAAUGUUACUUGAGAACUCCAGCACUUUUAUUCACUUCUGCGGUAAUGUGGCAAAUAUGCUUAGCCAUAUUGUAAAUCAAAGACAAAUAAUCAAAAUGCUUACCAUGAUAAACUUAGUGCUUCUUUUUGAAAUAAUUGAAGUAACUGCUCACGUCAGAUUGAGCGAGCAAACGCCUUUCUAAACGAAAAAUUAGAAGUUAUAGAAAUA